GACGAACCGUGCGAACGUUGUUCGGAAUCACUGGGCUUAAAGGGCGCGUAGGCGGGCUGAAAAGUCCUGGGUGAAAUCCUCCGGCUCAACCGGAGAACGGCCCCGGAUACUGUCGGCCUCGAGGGGGGUAGGGGCAUGCGGAACGCUGAGUGGAGCGGUGAAAUGCGUUGAUAUUCAGCGGAACUCCGGUGGCGAAGGCGGCAUGCUGGACCCCUUCUGACGCUGAGGCGCGAAAGCCAGGGGAGCGAACGGG
rnacentral:rRNA from 1 species